GCCACUGUACUCCAGCCUGGACAAUAGUGCAAGACCCGGUUGUGGGGCGGGGUUAAUAUAUAUAUAUAUAUAUAUACACACACACACACAACAUAGAAUUUACCAUUUUAACCAGUUUUAAGUGUACAGUUCAGUGGCGUUAAGCACGUUCACAGUGUUGUGCAACCAUCACCACCAUCCAUAUCCAGAAUUUUUCAUCUUCUCAAACUAAAACUCCCCACCUAUUAAAUACUAACUCCCCAUUCCUCCCUUACUCACUGGCAACCACCAUUUUACUUUCUGUCUCUAUGAGUUCCGUUAUUCCAGGUACCUCAUACAGUAUUUGUCCUUUUUUUUUUUUUUUUUUGGAGACAGAGUCUUGCUCUAUUGCCCAGGCUGGAGUGCAGUGGCACAAUCUCAGCUCACUGCAACCUUCCCCUCCUAGGUUCAAGCAAUUCUCCUGCCUCAGCCUCCCGAGUAGCUGGGACUACAGGCCCGUGCCACCACGCCCGGCUAAUUUUUUGUAUUUUUAGUAGAAGCGGGUUUUCACCAGGUUAGCCGGGAUGGUCUCGAUCUCCUGACCUCAUGAUCCACUGGCCUCAGCCUCCCAAAGUGCUGGGAUUAUACAGGCAUGAGCCACCACACCCGGCCUUGUCCUUUUUUUUUUUCUUUUUUUUUGAGAGAGGUGCCACUCUGUCGCCCAGGCUGGAGUGCAGUGCCACAAUCAUGGCUCAGUUCAGCCUCAACCUCCUGGACUCGAGCGAUUCUCCCACCUCAGCCUCCUGAGUAGCUGGGGCGACAGGCAUACAUCUGCACGCCCGGGCUAAUUUGUGUGUGUGUGUAUCUUUGGUAGAGGUGGGGUUUCUUUCUUCCUUCUCCUCCUUCUCCUUCCCCUUCUCUUUUUUUUUUUUUUUUUUUUUUGAGACAGAGUCUCACUCUUGUCGCCUAGGCUGGAGUGCCGUGGCAUGAUUUCGGCUCACUGCAACCUCCGCCUUUCAGGUUCAAGCAACUCUGCCUCAGCCUCCUGAGUAGCUGGGAUUACAGGCGUGAGCCACAGCACCUGGCAAAUUUUUAUAUUUUUAGUAGAGACGGGGUAUCGCCAUGUUGGCCAUGCUGGUCUUGAACUCCUGACCUCGGGUGAUCUGCCUGCCUCGGCCUCCCAGAGUGCUGGGUUUACAGGCGUGAGCCACCACGCUCGGCAAGAUGGAGUUUCGCCAUGUUGGCCAGGUUGGACUCGAACUCGAACUCAGUGGUUCCGAACAACUUGGCCUCCCAAAGCGCUGGGAUUACAGGCAUGAACCACCGCACCCCAGCCCAGCAUUUGUCCCUUGGUGGACUGCUUUAUUUCACUUAGCAUAACGUCCUCAAGGUUCAUCUAUGUUGCAGCAGGUGUCAGAAUUCCCUUCCUUUUAAAGGCUGAAUAACAUUGUGGUAUACACCCCAUUUUGUUUAUCCGUUCAUCUGUUGGUGUGUAUUCAGGCUGUUUCUGCCUUCGGGCUGUUGUGAAGAAUGCCGCUAUCAACAUGGGUGUGAGAAUAUCUGUUCAAGUCCCUGGCUAUAUUUAAAUUCUUUUGGAUAUUUAGCCAGAAGUGGAAUUACUGGAUCAUCUGGUAAUUCUAUUUUUGAUUUUUUGAGGAACCACCAAUACUAUUUUUCACAGCAGCCGCAGCAUUUUACACUCCCACCAGCAAUGCACAAGGGUUCCAUGAAAUCACUAAUUUUAUAACAUUUUUCCUGAUUACAUGUUCACUGUAGAACAUUUAGAAAAUGCAAGAAAUAAAAUUUAGAAAAUUAAAAUUCCCCUUAUUCUACAUACCGG
rnacentral:lncRNA from 1 species